GAUGAACGCUAGCGGCAGGCUUAACACAUGCAAGUCGAGGGGUAUAGUUCUUCGGAGCUAGAGACCGGCGCACGGGUGCGUAACGCGUAUGCAAUCUACCUUUUACAGAGGGAUAGCCCAGAGAAAUUUGGAUUAAUACCUCAUAGUAUGUGAGAAUCGCAUGGUUUUCACAUUAAAGUUCCAACGGUAAAGAUGAGCAUGCGUCCCAUUAGCUAGAUGGUAAGGUAACGGCUUACCAUGGCGACGAUGGGUAGGGGUCCUGAGAGGGAGAUCCCCCCACACUGGCACUGAGAUGCGGGCCAGACUCCUACGGGGAGCAGCAGGUAGGGAAUAGUUGGGACAAGUGGACGCAAGUUCUCGACCCAGCCAUCGCCGCGUGCAGGAUGAAGG
rnacentral:rRNA from 1 species